rnacentral:rRNA from 1 species
GUGUCAGCCGCCGCGGUAAUACAGAGGUGGCAAGCGUUGUUCGGAAUUACUGGGCGUAAAGGGCGCGUAGGCGGCCCUGUAAGUCCCGUGUGAAAUCCCUCGGCUCAACUGAGGAACUGCACGGGAUACUGCUGGGCUUGAGUUCGGGAGAGGGAAGCGGAAUUCCGGGUGUAGCGGUGAAAUGCGUAGAUAUCCGGAGGAACACCGGUGGCGAAGGCGGCUUCCUGGACCGAUACUGACGCUGAGGCGCGAAAGCUAGGGGAGCAAACGGGAUUAGAAACCCGUGUAGUCC